GAUGCACUAUUGUAAAGUGGCUGUUCCACUGGAUGUCAUAAGGUGAAUGCACCAAUUUGUAAGUCGCUCUGGAUAAGAGCGUCUGCUAAAUGACUUAAAUGUAAAUGUAAAUGUAAUGUAAUGUGAUAUGUUACAGGUCCUUGAGGGAGAUGGAGGGAUAAAUAACUUUGGGUGGUGAUAUGUUACUGGUCCUUGAGGGAGAUGGAGGGAUAAAUAACUUUGUGUGGUGAUAUGUUACAGGUCCUUGAGGGAGAUGGAGGGAUAAAUAACUUUGUGUGGUGAUAUGUUGCAGGUCCUGGAGGGAGAUGGAGGGAUAAAUAACUUUGUGUGGUGAUAUGUCACAGGUCCUUGAGGGAGAUGGAGGGAUAAAUAACUUUGUCUGGUGAUAUGUUACAGGUCCUUGAGGGAGAUGGAGGGAUAAAUAACUUUGUGUGGUGAUAUGUUACAGGUCCUUGAGGGAGAUGGAGGGAUAAAUAACUUUGUGUGGUGAUAUGUUACAGGUCCUUGAGGGAGAUGGAGGGAUAAAUAACUUUGUGUGGUGAUAUGUUACAGGUCCUUGAGGGAGAUGGAGGGAUAAAUAACUUUGUGUGGUGAUAUGUUACAGGUCCUUGAGGGAGAAGGAGGGAUAAAUAACUUUGUGUGGUGAUAUGUUGCAGGUCGUUGAGGGAGAUGGAGGGACACACCAUCAGAGGAGAAUCAAAUCAAAUCAAAGUGUAUUUGUCACGUGCGCCGAAUGCAACAGGUCUAAACCUUAAAGUGAAAUACUUACUUACAGGCUCUAACCAAUGGUUCCAAAAAAAGGUGUGUGUGUGUAGGUAAGUAGGGAAAUAAAACAACAGUAGAAAGACAUUUGAAAAAAAGGGUUGCAAGGCUAUAUACAGACAACUGUUAGUCAGGCUUAUUGAGGUAGUAUGUACCUGUGACUGUGCAUAUAUGAUGAACAGAGAGUAGCAGGACCGUAAAAAGAGGGGUUGGCGGGUGGUGGGACACAAUGCAGAUAGCCCGGUUAGCCAAUUUGCGGGAGCACUGGUUGGUCGGGCCAAUUUAGGUAGUAUGUACAUGAAUGUAUAGUUAAAGUGACUAAGCAUAUAAGAUAAACAGAGAGUAGCAGCAGCAUAAAGGAGGGGUUGGGUGGGGCACACAAUGCAAAUAGUUGGUUACCUGUUCAGGAGUCUUAUGGCUUGGGGGUAAAAACUGUUGAGAAGUCUUUUUGUCCUAGACUUGGCACUCCGGUACCGCUUGCCAUGCGGUAGUAGAGAGAACAGUCUUUGACUGGGGUGGCUGGGGUCUUUGACAAUUUUUAGGGAUUUCCUCUGACACCGCCUGGUGUAGAGGUCCUGGAUGGCAGCUUUGCCCCAGUGAUGUACUGGGCUGUACGCACUACCCUCUGAAGUGCCUUGCGGUCGGAGGCCGAGCAAUUGCCGUACCAGGCAGUGAUGUAACCGGUCAGGAUGCUCUCGAUGUUGCAGCUGUAGAACCUUUUGAGGAUCUCAGGACCCAUGCCAAAUCUUUUUCGUUUCCUGAGGGGGAAUAGGCUUUGUUGUGCCCUCUUCACAACUGUUGGUGUGUUUGGACCAAUCUAGUUUGUUGUUGAUGUGGACACCAAGGAAUUUGAAGCUCUCAACCUGCUCCACUACAGCCCCGUCGAUGAGAAUGGGACGUGCUCGGUGCUCCUUUUCCUGUAGUCCACAAUCAUCUCCUUAGUCUUGGUUACAUUGAGGGAUAGGUUGUUAUUCUGGCACCACCCGGCCAGGUCUCUGACCUCCUCCCUAUAGGCUGUCUCGUCAUUGUCCGUGAUCAGGCCUACCACUGAUGUGUCGUCAGCAAACUUAAUGAUGGUGUUGGAGUCGUGUCUGGCCAUGCAGUCAUGGGUGAACAGGGAGUAGAGGAGGGGACUGAGCACACACCCCUGGGGAGCUCCAGUGUUGAGGAUCAGCGUGGCAGAUGUGUUGCUACCUACCCUUACCACCUGGGGGCGGCCUGUCAGGAAGUCCAGGAUCCAGUUGCAGAGGGAUGUGUUUAGUCCCAGGAUCCUUAGCUUGGUGAUGAGCUUUGAGGGUACUAUGGUGUUGAACGCUGAGCUGUCGUCAAUGAACAGCAUUCUCACAUAGGUGUUCCUUUUGUCCAGGUGGGAAAGGGCAGUGUGGACUGCAAUAGAGAUUGCAUCAUCUGUGGAUCUGUUUGGGCGGUAUGCAAAUUGGAGUGGGUCUAGGGUUUCUGGGAUAAUGGUGUUGAUGUGAGCCAUUACCAGCCUUUCAAAGCACUUUAUGAUUUGAAGCAGGAGCAAUCUGGGAACAUGGGUUAUGCAUGCUCGACACACGCAAGCACACACACACAUUCAGGCAUGCUCAAACACACAUACAUCCACACAAACACACAAAUACAGAAAGUAAUAUUCCAAAAUGUGAAGUAUUCCAAAAACACAUGUUUCAUGUGAUCACAUCUGAUGAAGUGAUCUUAUUUGAAGUUAAUGUGAUAACAUGUGACGACAUGAAACUACACGUAUGAAAACGUGAUUUCACGUUACAUUUCUCAUGUGUUUUUCUGUGAGGGACACACACAUAAUAACACCUUGUACAUGAAGAAUUUGUAUGUUAUUUUAAUUUACCAGAUAAAUACAACAAAUAUAUUCUAUUUAACCAUGUGUGUAUUACUGUAACAGCUUAAAUAAAUGAUAUGUUGUAAUGAUGAUACAUCUUAUAAACAGCUACAGUAAUUCUAUCUGCAUUUCAUUGUGUAUUGAAUUGUUGGGUUGUAAAUCUACUGAAAUGCUUUAGCAUUGAUUCAUUCAGAUGAUAGAAUAACAUAACAUAUUAACAUGUAGCAAUAACAUAUACAUGUUUGCUUCUAAUGACCUGUACUUUUACAAUAUCUUUGCAUUGUGCUUUUUAAAUCAACUUUUUAUUUUAUCCACCAGAUGGAAUGUAUGCUUUGUUACAGUAAACAGAUAUUGUCCUCAUGGUCAACUGUUCCAUACAACCAACCUACUUUGGUCAGCUCUCCUUUCAGCCUAAUAGAGUUCUUGUUGCUCCUCAACAUUACAGGAAAAGUGUUAGGAAGGAAACAUUUCAGUGUUUAAACAACAUUGUUGACAGCCUCACUCUAUAAUGAAAUGUUAGGCAUUACAUUGGAUACUGACUUUAAUACACAAAGAAUACCCCUAGUAAUAGAAUACAAUACAAUAUAAUGCAAUACAAUAAAAUUCUCCAAACUAGUACUUUAGGUUGAUCAGUUAUAGUUCAGUUGUAUCAUCAGGAAAUACUAACAGAAAUACAGAUCAAGAACUUGAGCCACAUGACAUCCUUUCUCUGAUAAAAAAUAUAGUGAUGUGCAACAUUUUAUAACCCCCCUCAUCUAAGAUAGUAAUGACCUCACACUAUACUUUAACAUUAAACUACUGUAGUUCUACAACCAACACACACAAAUGCCUGUAAUGUGUUUAAUAAAUUGAAAAAUGAAAUGUGGACACUCAAGCCUGAUUGCAAAGGGAUCUUCCAAGUAAACACAGGUCAGACUCAUAAGUCAUAAUGUGAUAUAACAUGGUAACAAUAUUGAAUGUUUCCAUACUGUUCUGAAUUCCAAGUGCUAACCUACAUGUCAACAAUGUUGUUUAAACACUGAAAUGUUUCCUUCCUAACACUAUGCAUGACUAACAGGUAUUGCAUAUUGCCUACUAAUCCAACAGACAAGGUCAAGGUGAUUUAUGACAUUAGUCGUUGUCUGACUCUGACUACUAUUUUCAGUGUUCCUGCAUGGUUGGUAAGACCACUGUUCCAGUUAGGGGCUGUAUGUGUCUAUGUGUUUAGACCUAUGUGGUCAGACAGACAGCAGAUGUCAUAGUGUCACUGCCAUAUAAUUAGGAAUUAGAAUACUAGAAUGGACAUAAACUCUCCUAUGAUGGGAUGAAUGGCAGCCAUUUUGGUCAAGGAGUUGUUCAAUCAUGGUUUGCUAGUUCUGUGAUAAGAUAUUGUGUAGAAUAAUGAAUUUGAAGAGUUAAUCUGCACUGUAUGUUUGUUAGCUAGCUAGCCAGACAGAUUUACAUAGAAAAACAAGUGUGGUGUUUGCAUUUCCACAUAGUUGAUUUGACAGAGCAAACAUUUAUAAUAAUGGUUAGGAGAAGGAAUCAUAAAUCUAAAUGUAAGUAAAUGAACACAGUUGUAGUUAUUUUCCAAACUCUACUGGUUUCUUGUAGAAGCUGUUUCCAGACCAGUCAUGGAGGUGGUGUCUCUCUACUCCAACUCUAUUGCUGGAAUCUGUGGCGUCACAUUGAACUGUUCAGUUACAGAUGUGUGGAUGUUGUCUGUCUGUGAUGGAGGUCAGUGCACACUGUCACAGCAGACUCUGUCACACACCAGAGUCAACAUCACCACCUCCAAAGACAACGGGACUAUCCAAUGAACCGGCAGAAAUCAUGUCAGUGCAGAGACCAACUCUCUUCGCAUGGAGGACAUAUUCAAGUCUAAAAUACCAGCCUCCACCUUCUGUGCGUACCUCUUUCAUUGUAUUAUAUGCUAGUACUUUAAAUAAUAUAAUAAUUGUGUGUGUGUGUGUGUGUGUGUGUGUGUGUGUGUGUGUGUGUGUGUGUGUGUGUGUGUGUGUGUGUGUGUGUGUGUGUGUGUGUGUGUGUGUGUGUGUGUGUGCGUGUGUGUGUGUGUGUAACCGCUCAGGUAUUGGAGAGAAGAAGGGGCGUGCUACAUAACCACCAGUUAGGACCAUUUGUCUCAUCUCCUAACACGUCAACCCAUUGAGCUCAACCAGCGGAGAAGCUGGAACCACAGAACACAGAGGGUCCUGAGGUAACAUUAACCUACGACACUGCAGGAAACCAGGAUCCGCAGUAACGGAAGGGGCAGCAGCAGCAGUACAAGAGGGCCAGACAGAGGCAAUCUACAGUAAUUUGCAGCAACCAGCAGUAGAAUACCGCCACCUGGUGGACAAAGUGAGCAUUGCUCCAGAAAAUAGUCCAGAAGCACGUGGCACAGCAACAGUCUACAGCACAAUACAGAAACCAGCUGCACAAUGUACUGCACAAUAGGAUAUACAUUACCCACUGAUAUUUCAGCCACACCCAUUACUUAUAGGUGUAUAAAAUCUAGCACUCAGCCAUGCAAUCUCCAUAGACAAACAUUGGCAGUAGAAUGGCCUUACUGAAGAACUCAGUGACUUUCAACAUAGCACCAUCAUCGGAUGCCACCUUUCCAACAAGUCAGUUCUUCAAAUUUCUGCCCUGCUAGGGCUGCCCCGGUCAACUGUAAGUGCUGUUAUUGUGAAGUGCAAACGUUGAAGCCACACAAGCUCACAGAGUGGGACUGCUGAAUAUUGAAGCGCGUAGCACGUAAAAAUCAUCCCUCUUCGGUGUGGAAGAACUUGACUGGCCUGCACAGAGCCCUGACCUCAACCCCAUUGAACAUCUUUGGGAUGAACCCCAUUGAACAUCUUUGGGAUGAAUAGGAAUGCAGACUGCCCAACAUCAUUGCCCGACCUCAAUAAUGCUCUUAUGGCUGAAUGGAAGCAAAUCGCAGCAGCAAUGUUCUAACAUCUAGUGGAAAGCAGCAAAGGGUGACCAGCUCCAUAUUAAUGCUUAUGAUUUUAGAAUGUUUGAAGAGAAGGUGUCAACAUACUUUUGGUCAUGUAGCCAUGUAGCCCGAGCCAUUAUCAAGGCUCGGGUCAAUUCGAAUUUGUUGACAGUCAAUUCAGGAAGUGAUAUGAAUUGAACAUCUUAAAAUAGUAAACGUUUUCACAUAAAUAUCUUCUCCUGUUCAGCUUACUGAGAAGGUAUCAGAGACAACGUUGUUGAGCACCAGAAACUGAAUAUAUAACGUCCUCAGUUGUCCACAUUACAAUAAUGUUAUACUGUCUAGUAUAGUGAACAUCCAAUACACUCCACUAGGUGUCUCAUUAAUCUCAAUAUUCAAAUAUACUAUAAACUCCAACUAUUGUCUGUUAGUGUUGUUAUUUUCAGUGUUAAUGUAAUCAAUCAACGUCAUAUAAGCCUGAUUUGGUGAGUCACUAGAAAAAAUGGGAUCAGACAAUGUCAGUUACAAAACUUAGAGAGUGACAAUAUAAAAAGAGUCUAUAAGUGUAUAUAAUGCACUUGUGAUGAUUUAUUUCAUAUAUUUCUUAGUGGAAACAUCUAGACAACAUGCACAAAUGUUUCAGUGUUCACUUUCAUCAGUAUGUGAUAAACACUUCACAACAAAGAUAUCAUGAAAGCAUUCAAUAGGGGACAUUUACUAUAUAAAUUGUCAUUUACAUGUUUUUAAUUGUGAAAUGCCCCAUAGUUGUUAUCUAAUAAUGUGUGACAAUAGAUUUUGAUUGUUAGGUUCCCAUACAUAAAAAGAAAAAUCUAUGAUAUGUUCGGAUACAAUGCAAUUCCAAAAAAACAUAUUUCACAUAGACUCAAAUUAAUUUACUAAGUAGAUUACAUACAUGCACAUGAAACAAGUUAUUGACAGAAGAUUGGUAUUAUUGUAGGCAUGACAUUACUUUGGUGAAAUGAAAAUUGAAAUAUGGUCCUCCUUACAUCAUAUAAUCUGGAUAAGACAAAAUGUACAGUAUUUCUUGAAGAGAAAUAGCAGGAACGCUUUUUCUUGUAAUCUCUUUUCUAUCCUGUUCAUGUGUUUUUUCCACGUAUAAUUAUUUUGCUUUACUUUAUCUCAGUACUACUUUCCCUAGUAAUCUUUCCACCCUUUCUUCACACCAGCUUUACAUUUAUCCAAAUCUCCCUUGUGUUCCUCAGCUCUAUUCUUCAUCUCCUCCAGUUUCUGAACCUUCUCUGUGUCUCCUGUCUCCUUCAUCUUGUCGAUCAGGAAGUCCAGAUGCACUGCUGAGCAGUGGACAGUGAGAGGGCCUUUAGGACUUUCUCUUCCAGUUUGAUGACAUACUGGUACGACUCCUCCAACAGUCUGUCCUUCUCAAGAGAGCUGCUCCAACUCUGUCUGAAGUCCACUGAACAGACUCCCUUUCUCUACAGCCACUUUCUCAUUGAUUUCAUACUUUUCAAUUGCUCGUAUUUGUCCAGAAAAGCGAUCUGGUCUUGCUAACAUACAUUUAAUAUACUUUGACAUGCUUGGUGUAGUGAAAUGUGGUUUUAUACACAGUGCAGGGGUUGUUCUUCACCACACUACACUAUAACACACCAGAAGCCUGGAAAGUGGCAGUUCUCCUCACAAACACUGCAGGACAUUGCCUGUUUAGUUAAAUGCCCCAUUCUAUGGGGACUUUCUCUUUGUAAGGUUCUUCAACAGUAUAUGUAAAGUCCUUAUUUUCCUCCAUGUCUUUCUUGUGUUCCUCCAGGGUUCUUUGUGUCUGUUUGAUCUGAUCCUGCUUCAGAUCAAUCAUGUGGAUUCACCCACGUAAGAUGUUGCCAAAUGCCUCCAGUUGUUUGUGUUCUCUGAACUUCUUCAGUAAUCCUCACAUUUGUAGGUGUUUUUCCACUCUGGAACUCAGAGAAACUCAUGCCCUCCUCUGACAGGUUCCAUGCAGGUAGCCUAGCUACCUUAGAGAGUUGACCCAGCAACCGGAGGGUUUAGAUAAACAUGUUACAUUAUCAUUCAUUCUAAACACAAUGUGAUUUCAGUGACAAAAACAUGUCAUGUUGAUUCAAAUGGAUUUACAAAGAAUGUCAUAUAUGCAAGCUAUUGAUGAAAGUGUGUUAUUAGUGUAGGCAGAUCCAUCAUCUGAGGUUAUGAUUAAGAAAGAAAACAUAGCAUUGGUUAAUCUCAUACAACAUAUGUGGUUGACAUUAAAUGUACAGUAGUAUUUCUUGAAGAGAAAAAGGAUUAAGAAGAACAGUUUUCAUUUCCACCCUGCAAAUGUUUUCUAUCCUAUGUUCAUGUUCACAUUUUCUUUACACCAGCUUUAAAGUAAUCUAAAGCUCCUUUGUAUUCCUCCUCAGCUCUCUUCUUCAUCUUCUCCAGUUUGUGAAUCUUCUCUAUGUUUCCUGUCUCCUUCACCUUCUCAAUCAGGAAGUCCAGAUGCUGAGCAGUGGACAGUGAGCUGGUCUUUAAGGCUUUCUCUUCCAGGUUGAUGAGACACUGGUAUGAUUCUUCCACCAGUCUGGCUUUCUCAGAUGUGAACUGCUUCAACUCUGACUGAAGUCUGCUGAUCUGAGUCUCUUUCUCCCCAGCCGAUGUCUUAUUGAUUUCAUACUUAUCUUUCAAUUUCUCAUUCGUCCUUGUAACCUGCCUGGUCAUAAAAACAUACUUUUUCUUUUCUUUGACAUGUUUGGUGUAGUGACAUUUCCCAGUACACCUUGUGCAGUGAUAGUUCUUCAUCACAGUACACCAUGAGAGAUCUUUGACCCACCAGCAGCCUGGAAAGUGGCAGUUCUCCUCACAGACUGUGCAAGUGGUAGCCUCACCCUCUGUUGUAUCAGCCUUUCCUUUGCAUUUCUCCUCAACAGUGUAUAAAAAGUCCUUGUUUUCCUCCAUGACUUUCUUAUGUUUAUCGAGUGCUUUUUGAGUCUGCUUGAUUUCAUUCUGUUUCAGAUCAAUCAGGUGGACCUGCUUGCGUAUGUUGCUGACACACUCCUCCAGGUGUUUCUGAUCUCUCAGAACUCCUUCAGUCAUCUUCACGUUUUGAGGUGUAAUUCUACCCAGGAACUCUGUGAAUUCCUUCAUGCUCUCCUCUGAUAAAUCCCAUAAAUUCUUCAAGAUACGUUCUUCUUUCUUGGCCUGGGUUGCUUUUGCAGAGGUGACACUCUUUCUUUGAGAGUUGUUGAAUAGGAAAUAAAUAGAUUGAUUGCUGUCAUCUUUUGCACAGGGGACAUGAGCAUCUUCUAAGGCCUGUAGAGCAUCAGCAGGUUCAAAACCAUCUGAGUGUGUGAUGAGGGCCACGAUGUUCUUCUCCAUGUCUUUGCCAAAGAUAGACAAGACUGAAUCAAAUAUGUACUUCUGUUCAACAGUGAUUCGAUUUGCACUUGCCUUCACCAAUACACCAACAGCAUCAAUUUGAUGGACUCCGUAUUCAGAUCCAAACAACUCAAAUAGUUUUUUAGCGAUUAGUUGGUCUGCUUGAAUCCCUCUGGUGUCUCCAUACCCAGGAGUGUCGAUGAUGGUGAGAGAGUAGGGCACUUUAAUUCCCUCAAACCCAAAUACAUCAUAUACAGUAAUCACUGUAGUUUGAAUUACACUCUGACAUUUUCCCUCUUUUUCUUCCUCCACAAUCUCAAACCAGACUUUGUCCGCCUGUUUUACACCCAGGAAAUAAUUGACUAUGGAAUUGAUCAGAGUUGACUUCCCUGUUCCUGUCUCUCCCACUAUCAGAACGGUUCUGUUAACCUUGGUGGAAUCUCUCUCUCCAAAGGUCCAUCUUCUGAGCAGGCCUUCAUCAUCUAGAUUCUGUUUCUUUGUUUCCAGCUGAUACCUUGCAGGAGGUCCUUCGUCAAUAAGGUUACUUGCAAUCGUGUCUUGAAUGUUUGACGAUGUGUGUCUAAUCAUGGGAAAUAAAUUAACAUAUGUUAUAAUAUGAAAUGUACUUAAUCAUUUUGUUUUACUGUAAAGGAAGAAUCAUAAGUUCUCUGAGAGAUCUCAGAGAUCUGAAAGCAAAAAGAUGAAGAAUUUACCAAUAAGGCAAUUUGUUUUGCUUAAAAUACUAUAUAGCUUUCAACCAAUCCCAUAAAUCAAAUCAAGUGGACUGUGGGGACGGGUUUUCCGGAUCCAGAUGAAGCCAUUUCCUCGACAAAAAAACCCACUUUCAAUGGAGAUUCUCCAUUCAGCAUGCAUUUUAGACGAGAGUUGGGCUUAAUCUGGGACUGAUAAAACGGCCUAUAGAGUUUUGCGGUUUGCAUCUGUCAAUAAUCUAUAAAACAUUCUACCUGUCCGUAAAAUGUAUAUCGUUACAAAACUUUUGUGAAACAGCACAGUUAAAAAUAUAUGGCAAAUAGAAAUCAAUCUGGAU